rnacentral:rRNA from 1 species
GAUGAACGCUGGCGGCGUGCCUAAUACAUGCAAGUCGAGCGAACAGAUGAGGAGCUUGCUCCUCUGACGUUAGCGGCGGACGGGUGAGUAACACGUGGAUAACCUACCUAUAAGACUGGGAUAACUUCGGGAAACCGGAGCUAAUACCGGAUAAUAUAUUGAACCGCAUGGUUCAAUAGUGAAAGACGGUUUUGCUGUCACUUAUAGAUGGAUCCGCGCCGCAUUAGCUAGUUGGUAAGGUAACGGCUUACCAAGGCAACGAUGCGUAGCCGACCUGAGAGGGUGAUCGGCCACACUGGAACUGAGACACGGUCCAGACUCCUACGGGAGGCAGCAGUAGGGAAUCUUCCGCAAUGGGCGAAAGCUUGACGGAGCAACGCCGCGUGAGUGAUGAAGGUCUUCGGAUCGUAAAACUCGGUUAUUAGGGAAGAACAAAUGUGUAAGUAACUAUGCACGUCUUGACGGUACCUAAUCAGAAAGCCACGGCUAACUACGUG